rnacentral:rRNA from 1 species
AACGCUGGCGGCGUGCCUAAUACAUGCAAGUCGAACGAACUUCCGUUAAUUGAUUAUGACGUGCUUGCACUGAAUGAGAUUUUAACACGAAGUGAGUGGCGGACGGGUGAGUAACACGUGGGCAACCUGCCCAGAAGCAGGGGAUAACACCUGGAAACAGAUGCUAAUACCGUAUAACAGAGAAAACCGCCUGGUUUUCUUUUAAAAGAUGGCUCUGCUAUCACUUCUGGAUGGACCCGCGGCGCAUUAGCUAGUUGGUGAGGUAACGGCUCACCAAGGCGAUGAUGCGUAGCCGACCUGAGAGGGUAAUCGGCCACAUUGGGACUGAGACACGGCCCAGACUCCUACGGGAGGCAGCAGUAGGGAAUCUUCCACAAUGGACGCAAGUCUGAUGGAGCAACGCCGCGUGAGUGAAGAAGGGUUUCGGCUCGUAAAGCUCUGUUGUUAAAGAAGAACGUGGGUGAGAGUAACUGUUCACCCAGUGACGGUAUUUAACCAGAAAGCCACGGCUAACUA